rnacentral:rRNA from 1 species
GAUGAACGCUGGCGGCGUGCCUAAUACAUGCAAGUCGAGCGAACAGACGAGGAGCUUGCUCCUCUGACGUUAGCGGCGGACGGGUGAGUAACACGUGGAUAACCUACCUAUAAGACUGGGAUAACUUCGGGAAACCGGAGCUAAUACCGGAUAAUAUAUUGAACCGCAUGGUUCAAUGGUGAAAGACGGUUUUGCUGUCACUUAUAGAUGGAUCCGCGCCGCAUUAGCUAGUUGGUAAGGUAACGGCUUGCCAAGGCAACGAUGCGUAGCCGACCUGAGAGGGUGAUCGGCCACACUGGAACUGAGACACGGUCCAGACUCCUACGGGAGGCAGCAGUAGGGAAUCUUCCGCAAUGGGCGAAAGCCUGACGGAGCAACGCCGCGUGAGUGAUGAAGGUCUUCGGAUCGUAAAACUCUGUUAUUAGGGAAGAACAAAUGUGUAAGUAACUAUGCACGUCUUGACGGUACCUAAUCAGAAAGCCACGGCUAACUACGUG